ensembl:snRNA U6 U6 spliceosomal RNA
CUGCUUCCAUAGAGAAUGCAGCACCUACACUAAAAUUGGAAUGAUAAAAAGAAUGUUAGCAUGACCUUUGUACAAGGAUGACAGACAAAUUCAUGAGGCAUUCUGUCUUCUC